CAACUAACGUUCGCAACCACUAUCGUAAAGUUGUGUAGUUACAGCUACACCUCUCGACCUGUAGUAUGUAGUAAGAAGCAUAGUUGCUGGAGACGACGUAACCCUGAUGACGGAACACGCAGCUGACAGAUGGAUGAGAGGUAGCCAUUAAACAUCCCAUAACAUUGCUGUGGGAUACCAUACCAUAGCAUUGCUGGAGGCUACAAUUGCACAUUACUGGACAACGUUAUGUGGUACAGUGGAAAGUGAAGUGUUGUGGAGUUAGCCUACAACAGAGCGGCCUGUGGUUUAGUGUUAUGGUGACCGCAAUCAUCUGUGUUGUUAUUAUUCGUGAAUUUACAUGUAGCCUAAUGCUAAUGUGUCAGCACAGAUUCUUUCGAACACCCGUUAAGUUAUCUGGUGAUAAAGCUUUUGAAUGCCAACGGUAUUGUUAUGUGAGGCUAGCAUCGUAAUUGUUAUAAAAGGAUAACGUUACAUUGUAGUCGUAUGUUAAGUGUUUGGAUGAAGCAUCUGCUAAUCAUACACAUAGCUAACGGUAUGGACUCUACAGCCCAUUAUGAUGUGGUGAAGUGACUGUGCUGUGGCAGAGACUAUAGCGUGUGUGCUUUACAUGAGAGAGGUCAGGGGUUCAAGACUGGGUCGAUGGGUGUGAGGUGAGUAUGCCUGUGGAGUGGGGUUUGUGUUGUAUCUUGUCUGAUCACAAGCUAUGUUUAGCGGGUGUAUAAGUUAGGCUACUCUCAGUUAUUAUAUGAUCUUGAUAUUUGAACACAUAGCUGAAUUAUGUUGGUACAAUGACAUUGGAGAAUGCUGCUGUGAAGUUGAGUAGCCUCUCGCUUGGAGAACUUUAAGACCUCUGGGACUUGAGUGAGCAUGCAGAGUGCUGUGGUCAGUGUCAAAAUGUGACAUGAUUUUCACUGAUUAACUUGUCCUUCAUGGCCCAGGUAUGGGUAGGCCUGUCAUGGGAGGCGGAAAAAUGGCCAGCAGGAAGGUGUGCAGCAGCCACCGGAAUGACCUCUUCCACCUCCUCCACUAACAGCUCCUCAUCAGCCGGCAGUGGGAUGUGAUCCUGAAGGGCCAUGUUGCAGAAGCGACGUCACCAAAACUACACUGCACGCCUUUGCAGGAUGGAGCUUCAGGCCACCAGCGGAUUUGCUCACACACCUUUCCACAUGCCCAGGGCCCUCUCCACAACAACGCGGGUCCGGCUAUGGGCGUUGUUGUACCGCGCCUCUGCCUCGCUAUUGGGCUCCUAGAUGGAGCAGUUGACAUGCUUGUAUUAUCAUAGGGGGUUGAUGGAAUAAAGUAGGUCUUGAAAUGUCAGUGCACUCAGGGAAUAUAGACAUUCAUUUGAAAACAACAGUAUAGACUUUGCUACUAUCUCAGCAGCAGAAGGCAACAACAUGAGCAGCACCUACAGUAACGUGUGUGUGUGUGUGUGUGUGUGUUUGUGUGUGUGUGUGUUGGUACAGCUGGCGCAGAUCCUUCAACCAUUUGAGCAUUGAAACAUUUGUGCUAUGUGAACUGUCAUUUUGUGGUUGUGAUUCAACACACAACUUCAUAACUACAAUGGAUGAAAAGUAAUGGUAAAAAAAACUGUAUCUGUGCAUUUAAAAUAUCAUGAAAUACUUGUGUGUGGUAACAGUAUUCAGUUUUCAGUGUCACAAUGAAAACACAUAACAAGGGCAACAUUGGAAAAAUGCUGCAUAAAGGCAUGACAAAAUCCCAUUGAAAUGAAGGGCAAUCAUACAGUAAAGUAUUCAUUUAUAUAGCGCUUUUAGAGUGAAAGAGUGAAACCCAAAGCACUUACACAACAACAUGUUGUUCAACAUUGUUCAUAUUACAUAUCCAUAUUUAUUCUGCUCUUACUGUAAGGUAACUGCUAAGAUACUGCACAUAUUUAUAUUUCAUUUAUAUUACUCUAAAUCACCUUCUGCAAACCAACUGUAUACUACUGUCUUCACGGCACUAUAUGUCUUGUCCUGUCUAUGCACCUGUCUAUACUUUAUAUAUCACAUUGCACUUUUCUGCCUUUUUGGCACUUCUGGUUAAAUGCAAACUGUAUUUGGUUGUAUUUGUACUUGUGCUCUGCACAAUAACAAUAAAGUUGAAUCUAAUCUAA